UGUAAUAGUUUGGUAACUCAAGGGUGGUUGGCUCACUCCUCUUUCUGACUGGGGGUGAGGCCAUGACAGUAUUCGAAGCACUGAUGCUAGCAAUUGCUUUUACUACAUUAGUACUAAUGAUUCUGUCUUUUGAACAUAAAAAAUAACCCACCUUUGAGUUGACGGCUCCGGCGGGUUGUACACUCUAGUUAGCCAACCCCUUUGAAGGGACUGACUAUUAUAUUAUGACCGAUUGAUGUGCGACCAUCAAUUGGU
rnacentral:sRNA from 1 species